rnacentral:lncRNA from 10 species
UAAGCCAACAAUCAAGGAGAAAAAAACAUUUUUUCUUUAAACUUUUAUUAUAAGUUCAGGGAUACAUGUGCAGUUUGGUUACAUAGGUAAACUUGUGUCAUGGGGGUUUGUUGUACAUAUUAUUUCAUCAUCAGGUAGUAAACCUAAAACCCAUGACUUAUAUUUAUUUAUCCUUAUUCUCUCUCUCCUCCCACCCUCUACCCUCUAUUAGGUCUGUUGUUUCUCUCUAUGUGUUGAUGUAUUCUCAUUAUUUAGCUCCCAAUUAUAAGUGAGAACAUGUGGUAUUUCAUUUUCUGCUCCUGUAUUAGUUUGCUAAGAAUCAUGGCAUCUAGUUCUAUCCAUGUUUCCACAAAGGACAUGACCUCAUUUGUUUUCAUGGCUGCAUAGUAUUCCACAGUAUAUAUGUACCACAUUUUCUUUGUCCAGUCUAUCAGUUAUGGGCAUUUAGAUUGAUUCUGUGUCAUUGCUAUUGUGAAUAGUGCUUCAAUGAACAUACAUAUGCAGCUGUCUUUAUGAUAGAAUGAUAUCUAUUCUAUUGGGUAUAUACCCAGGGAUGCAAUUGGUGGAUUUAAUGGUAGUUCUCCUUUUAGGCCUUCAAGGAAUCACCACACUCAGUUUUCCAUAGUGGUUGAGCUAAUGUACACUCCUAUCAACAAUGUAUAGGCACUCAUUUUUCUCUGCAACCUCACCAGUACCUGGUGUGAGAUUGUAUUCUGACUGGUGUAAGAUGGAAUAUCACUGUGGUUUUGACAUGCAUUUCUCUAAUGAUCAGUAACAUUGAGCUUUUUUUUCAUAUUUCAUAUGCUUGUUGGUUAGGCUCUACCAUUCUAGAGAUAGAAAUGGGCUAAGUUUUCAUAAUGAAGACAGCAAAAUCAAUUAUAACAAAAGCAAAAAUUAACAAAUGGGAUUCAAUCAAACUAAAGAGAUUCUGUACAACAAAGGAAAUUAUCAACAGAGUAAACAGACAACCAUAGAAUGGGAGAAAAUGUUUGCUAACUAUGCAUCUGACAAAGGUCUAAUAUCCAGCAUCUAUAAGAAAUUUAAACACAUUCACAAGAAGAAACAACUUCAUUAAAACUUGGGCAAAGGACAUAAAAAGUAAAUUUUUACAUACUAGAAUAUUGCAAUUUAAGAACAAAUGGGACACGUGAAAAUUAAGAAAAAAAAAUUUAGUUGAAAAUGAUAUUGCUGUAUACCUUUUAAAAAAAUCUCCUAAUAUACUACAGGAUGAUUUUAACAGACAGUUCGAGGUUACCAGGCUAUGGGCUGCUUGAAUGGCAAGUGACUGUCUAAUGUGUAUACACAUCCUUUUAGGUUGGUGACAGUUUUGGAGCUAGAUUGCAAUGGUAGUUACACAAUACUGUGAAUGCCACUGAAUUGUUCACUUUUAAAUAGUUAAAAUGUACAUAUUAUUUUAUGUGAUUCUUACCUCAAAUAUUAAAAAAACAUGUGGUUGGCCAGAGUUUGCCCAGAGGCACUGAUUUGUUAUCCUUUGAUUAAUUAAAUUACAAUAAAUGUAAUUCCUACAUAUUUAAAAAUAGCAAAUGCUGUUAUUUUUAUCAUUUACAUUUGAAACAUUUACAUUUUAAAAAAUAUGUGAAGUAAUUUAGGUAAGGACUCAUAUCAUUGUGGAAAUUUUUCUGUCUAUUUAAUAAUUAUUAUAAUUAAUGCAAAUUUAUUUUGCUACAUACAGCAACUGUAGAGCUUUACCAAGUUAAUGCAUCCAUCCUUUCAUCAGCCACAGGAGGUGAAUAAUGGCAUUACUCCAUCUCCGUUUCACUGAUGGAGAAGUUGAGGUGUACAGGUGAGGCAACUUGCCAAACCCCACAUAAUUCUCUAGAGGUUUUGCAGGGACUUGAAUCCAGGCUAACUGGAUCCAGAGUGCAGGAGCUCUUAACCACCAUGCUACGCUGACUCCCCUUUCUGAGUUAGUUAUUUUCAAAAUGUCACAUUUGUAGUUUCCAUUUUCUUGUCUCUAUAUUAAGUGUAUAUUAUUAUGAAUGUAUAAUUAAAUUUUUAGAAAUAUCCUUGUAGCUAUUUAUCACUUCCUAACAAACUACCCUCAAUCAUGGGGACUUUGAAAAACAAUUAGCAUUUUAUUACAAUUUCCAUAGCAUGAGUGUUGGGUAGGUUCAGCAAGAUGGUUCAUACACAGUAUUUCUCAGGUCAUUACUUUAAUAGGGUGGCUGGGGAUGUAAUCAUCUGAAGGUCAUUCAUUCACGUACUUGGUGAUGGAUGUCAAAAGACUCAAAUUCCUGUGGGACUGAAUAAUCAUGACUUCUUAGUCUCUUCUUUGCAUCAUUCCCCGAGUUGUCAUUUAUCAUCAGGACUUUGGGUGUAACACUGGGCUCCAAAGUCAUGGUUCUGAAGAAAGGGCGCCAUUCCUGGAACCGUCCUGCAACCCCUCCGGGUUCCCUUGUGCUGUCAGGGGAGGGGCACCGGGGACGCGGGAGAACAGCUCCUUUCUCUGGGCUUAAGUUCCCUUGAUGGGUCCUGAAGUUAAGGGUCUCCCACAGCCGAGGCCCCAGACCGCCCACAGGCAAAGAAGCCAGCCAAGCUGCAGUCUCUCAGUCCCAUGUGGGUCACCAGGUGUGUAGCGGAUCAGGAGGACCCGAGAGAGACCUUGGGGUAUAUAGAGGAGGAUAUCUUUAUUGAGUACACUCAGACCCAACGGACUUACC